rnacentral:ncRNA from 1 species
ACUCUAAUAAUGCUUCAUUCUCUCAAUAUUUUAGUUUCUCAGCUCUAGAACUCCUAUCGUUUCCUUACUUACUCGAUUAAGUCGAAUGUAUUUUAUUACUUAGCCACUAUAGGGAUAUAUUUAUACAUCUUAUAGCAUUGGGUUUUGAUGCAAGCUUCUUGAUGAAAGUACUGAAGAGUUUGUUAUAUGAUUGUAAACAAAUUUUAAUGAGAUUGUUUGGCAUUUCGGUGCUUAUUCAAUCAAUAUUUAGAAUCUGGUAUAACUCGCAAUACUCAGGUGUGAUCCAAUUGAAGGACAUUGCUAGAGAGGUGUCCCAGGGCCAACUUAUUGUGAACAAAAACCUCACAUAGAGCAAAAAAGCAAAAGCUGACUUGAUCUUGGUGCUUAGUACACACACGGACAGUAAAAGCUCGGCCUAUGGUUUAAGGAGUCUUUAAUAAGAAGCAUCGGAAAAAUUACCACAGAGAUAACUGCCUUGUGGCGACCGAGUGUUCAUAGUGGCGUCGCUUUUUGAUCCUUUGAUGUCGGCUCUUCCAAACAAAAUCCACAAAGCGUUGGAUUGGCCACCCAUACAAGGAAACGUGAACUGGGAUCAGACCACUAUGAAACGGAUUAGUU